rnacentral:lncRNA from 1 species
GGAGUUGCAGGUGUUAGCUCCUUUAGAACAACUGAUCCAUCCUUUAGCAGGUAGGGAAGGAUCUUCCUGUAUGGUACUGGCAAUGGAUCAAAAUGUCUUUCUGCUCUUCUUGCCCUCUGCUGGUUAGGUUGACGUUGUUGUGGAGCAUUUUGUUGUUGACUCUGAUGCGGCUGCUGGUACGCUGGCUGUUGGUACGGAUGUUGAUGUUAUUG